AGGAGGAAGGCGUUUGGCAGAGGGUGUGGCGCUCGGGUGGGAACGGGGAGCUUUGUCUUUUCCCGGCCCAUGACCCAGAUGCCCCCAUCGUGUGCAGGUGCUGCCACGAUCCCCAGGCUUCUUGCAUGGUCUGUCCCGCGUCACCUCACACAUAACCAAGAAUGGCCUAUACACAGCGUACAUCCCACCAUAAUGGGAACUGAGUCACGUCCCCCUCCCUUCAACCACAGUGGCUGGCUGAUUGUAUUUCUGUAACCAAAACCUUUCCUCCUUUUUCCCUUUCCUCCUUUUUUAACUCCAAGAUGGUAAUUCCUACUGCUGUCUUCAAAACUAAGCAAGCCCUUAAUCCAGUGGCUUUCAAUGCUGACCUGCAGAGCACCUGCGUGGAGUUAAAACAGCACUGGUUGAUCACCUAGGUUUGCCACUUGCUCUGCUGAAACCACCCUUGGAAAAGCACAGAUGCAUUCAAGAGGUUGUUGGGAUUUUCCAGAUAAGCUGUGAGUCAUAGUGCCAUCAUGAUCAGUAAUAUGGAUCUAGUUUGCAGAGCAUCUAAACAGAUGUUUAACUUUGUGCAUCAUCAUUGGCAGAAGUAUUCACCUGCUUGAUAUCUUACUGUUGGUGAGGGGUUUGUGGCAAGAGGCAGGUAGACAAGGCUGAAUUUUUAGAGGAGGAGGCCCGCAGCAAAAUCUUCUAAUUACAAUUAAUUCAAUUCUGGCUUAAUAUAAAACUCAAUUUUGAAAUUCAAAAGUGCAGAUGAAAAGAGUUGUUAAAAGAGGAUCCUCUUUUUUUUCUUUCUCCCACACACACAUGUGCAUGCACAUCCUAUAAGGAGCAGAUUUCAGUCAUGCAAAAUAUAUGAUCUAAUUUUAAACCACUGACAAGAUGUGCUCCUUAAAGCAUACUCUUAUUUUAGAAUUAUUUGAAACUAUACUUAAAGGAAUGGUCAUCCUAAUACAGCUAACUAUAAAUCACAUUUGCAAUCCAUAAAUCCUAGUGAUGUGAAUGCACUUUAUCUUUACAUAGGGUGACCUUUAAUAAUUAUAGUAUCACAUGUGGAUAAGAGAGAAAGUUAUAAAUGCGUCUUUUUUUCUUGUUACAUGCAGAUGAUGAGCAUAUUCACUGCUUAAGAAUAAUUUACUUGUUCUGAACUUUCUCUCAAUUCUUCCAGAGCUGCUGCUUCAAGCCAUCCACCAGCAAGGAAUCGAGGCAUCUGGCCACUGUCCUGCGUACUUCUGAGUUUUUACAACUAUCACAAUUGCUGCAUGCAAAGUACCUGUGAUUCAUUGUAUUACCUAUCAGGCUAGAAGUCUGCAUUUAGAUGUGGCCUGAGCUAAAUCUGGGGUCUAAUUACAGUGUAGAAAAACUAGCGGUGCAAAAUGUUACAAUUUUUUAACAGCUAGAGUAAGUGUAACCUACUUUCUCCAAAUACUGUCUAUACAAAAAGAUCUUGGUUUAUCUGAACUAUUUGCAAUACUAGAAGCAUCAGGAUUACUGCACUCUUAAAAUCAAUUGGAAUGAAGGAAAGACUGUUGUAGCUGUGAAAUGUAUUUAAUUUAUUAAAUAUUUAUUAUUAUUUGUCCUAAAGUAUUUAUUAAUAUUUGUCCUAAACUAAUUAGGUGAUACAAAGAGUAUACUCACUAAGAGUAAGUGCUAAAAUUCUGAGAAUGAUGUAUUUUAUUUCUCUCACAAAACAGAAACAGAAUGUUUAUCAAAAUCAUUGCUAAUGGUAUUUAAAAACAGACGAAAAAGAAAGUGAUUUUAAAAUAAAAGUACUCUUACUUUUAGCUUGAUUACCUAAAGAAAUAAUGUUCUUGCAAUCAUA